AUUGAACGCUGGCGGCAUGCCUAACACAUGCAAGUCGAACGGUAACGCGGGGGCAACCCUGGCGACGAGUGGCGGACGGGUGAGUAAUACGUAGGAAUCUGCCCAUUUGUGGGGGAUAACCCGGCGAAAGCCGGGCUAAUACCGCAUACGCUCUACGGAGGAAAGCGGGGGAUCGUAAGACCUCGCGCUAAUGGAUGAGCCUACGUCGGAUUAGCUAGUUGGUAGGGUAACGGCCUACCAAGGCGACGAUCCGUAGCUGGUCUGAGAGGACGAUCAGCCACACUGGGACUGAGACACGGCCCAGACUCCUACGGGAGGCAGCAGUGGGGAAUAUUGGACAAUGGGGGCAACCCUGAUCCAGCAAUGCCGCGUGUGUGAAGAAGGCCUGCGGGUUGUAAAGCACUUUCAGAGGGGAAGAAAAAAUCGGAUCUAACACAUCCGAGCUUGACGUUACCCUUAGAAGAAGCACCGGCUAACUCCGUGC
rnacentral:rRNA from 1 species